rnacentral:rRNA from 1 species
UACAGAGGUCCCGAGCGUUGUUCGGAUUCACUGGGCGUAAAGGGUGCGUAGGUGGUUGGGUAAGUUUGAUGUGAAAGCUCAGGGCUUAACCCUGAAAUGGCAUUGAAUACUACUUAACUGGAGGUUUGGAGGGGGGACUGGAAUUCUUGGUGUAGCAGUGAAAUGCGUAGAUAUCGAGAGGAACACCAGUGGCGAAGGCGAGUCUCUGGACAUUUCCUGACGCUGAGGCACGAAAGCCAGGGGAGCAAACGGG